GCGUAGCAGUAAGUGUCCUGUCGUAUCGUCUCUCUGUAAAUAUCGUCUCUUUUUCGUUUUAGAUAUUUUUAGAUAUUUUUUCUUCGCAUAUCUUUAAAAACAUUUUGCUAAACCUAAGCUUCCAAAUACUCUUCUGCAACCCGCCAAUGUAGCUACCUUUCCUAAAGUAGUUAUAUUUACAUCGGAACCGGACCCCCUCAACUGAAGCUAGCCAGCUAACUACCAGCUAUGCUAGCGGUCUUCAGCUAACUGGUCAUCAACUAACCUUUAGCUCGGAAAGCUCUCGCCAGUUCGAACAGCGCGACGCUAACCAGAGCAUAACGGACCUAUUUAAUUUAGUUAUUUUUUUACCCCCGGAAUCCCACCACAAACGGAACAUUCUUCAGCUGGAUCUUCGCAACUAGCUAUCGAGCUAAACAGCAACCCUGGUUGUUUACUCCUGGCUAGCGUUUCCACCCACGUAGCUUGAAGCUAGCCCGGCCAGAGCUCCGGCCAGAUACUCCUGGGCUACAAUACCUUGACUACGACCGGUCUAUCGAUAUCACUGCAUGAAGAGGAAUAAACAGACUCACCCCAUCGCGACGUCCUCCAAAGGCUAACUCUCUAGCCCUCGCUAUCUCCUUGCUUGCUAGUUCGGCAUGCUAACUGCUAGCUUGUUUAGCCCAGGUCCGCUAACUACUACCUUGUUUACCCCGGCCUGCUAAUCUGUUAGCACAGGCCUGCGAACCGUCUUGCAUCGCCGCGUCCCUAAAACGCAGUGGCCCAUAUGUACUCUCUCUUCCCGUUUAAAAAAAUAAAUAGUUUAUACCUUCCGGAAACCUGCCUCACCCAAUGUGAUACGGAAUCGCUAUUAUCUUUAUUUUUAGAACACACUCAAGAACCUCCAGAAGCUAACCAGCUAGCUAGCUACAAGCUAUUUAGUCAUUGUUAGUUUUCUUAACCUGGAUAACACUCGCCAGCCCAGCCCCCCUGCCCCAUCCACCGCUGCCCCCUGGACUCUGAUCACUUGGCUACAUAGCUGAUGCACGCUGGACUGUCCAUUAAUCACGUUCCACUCAGUCCCGUUGUUUUCCUGCAGUCCAACCGCAGCACAGACAACCUCUUCAUACCCAGCAGUAAGGUGCUACCGGGAGAGGCACAACACGGGGACUCCGGGAGGGAGGAAGGGCUAGCGUUGUCCUGGUAACCAUAAAGAGGGGACACAGACACAUAUCAUUAUGGAUGCUGAUGUCACUGUUGUCAUAAAGUGCCUUACAGAAACCCAGACCCAGAUAGAGCAAGCUGUAUGCUAGACCAGACCAAGCUGUACCAUCUGGUGUUCUGAUCUGGAGAGACUCUUCUCUGUCUCGUCAGCAUCAGGAUGUUGUUGAGGCCCCCCAAUGGAUCCACGAUAGUCAUGUCUCUCUCCUGUUUGAACGAGAACAUCAAACAGAUGGUGAACUUAUUACCAUCAUCAAUUAUUACUGUCUAUUACAGUCAUAUAGUCUUAUCAGAGGCAUUAAUAUCUCUAAAUUAAUUGGGUGCCUUUUGUGUCCCUUUGAUAUUUUAAGUAUAAAUGAUGCUCCAUUAUUACAUUUUGAAAGCCUGUUAUAUAUAAUUAAAUCUCAUUUAAAAGUCCCAAGAAUAUAUGUAGCAAUGGCAGAUUGACCCUUUAACAAUUUAUAUAGUACUGAACAUCAUAUUGAAGUGAAGAACUUCAGUAGAAUGCCCCUUAAAAACCACACAUUAAUUCAACAACUGCAUAGUUUGUGCCCCUGUUUUUAAGACAGUACUCACUGGUGUUAAUCUGAUAUUCUGUCUCCUCCCCUUUCACUCCCAAAACGUCUUCCUCCUUCACUGAGAUAGAACCUUUUAGAGAGGAAGAGGAUGUUUUCUCUUCUUUCCCUAUAACAGCCUCCUCUUCCUCCUUUUUCAUUCUGAAAGGUUCUUUCUCUCCUUUCACUGUAAUAUCCUCCUCUUCGUCUUUCACGACAAUGUUCAGCGCCAGAGCUUCUUUCUCUCCUUUCACUGUAAUAUCCUCCUCUUCGUCUUUCACGACAAUGUUCAGCGCCAGAGCGUCUUUCUCCGGACAGCAGACAUCCACUUCUUUAGCAGGGGAUGAGUAGUUUAAUGAGCUCAUGGUCAGGGAUGUUAGCUAGCUAGUUAGCAUUAGCGAAUAGCCUAGUGCUAGGCUCAGUAUCAAUCUUUAACAAAUUUGCAAAUUGAACAAGCAAAUUAGGUUCAAGUUAACGUCAACUGAAAUGUGUUUUAAACACUGCGAUUAGCUAAUGCACAUUAACAUGGCCUAAAAAUCUUUCAGUUUUUAUGUUGUCUAGCAAGCUAUCGGGGUGGUUGAAAGAGUAUCCGUGUUGUUGUUCCUGAAGAAGCGUCCGUCCAGUCCAUUAUACGUCACACAAGAAGCAUCACCUGAAAGACGCUCAUCGCCAUCUGCUGGCUGGAGUGGGUAACGCAGUUUGGAAACAAUAGUUACGACACUUUUUGUAUUGGAAAGAACGUCAUAAUUAUUUAACAAUAAGCUGAUAUAUUUUCUCUUACGUCUUACAACUAAUACUUUCCUGUACACAGACGUAGAAGCGUAAUAUGAAUAUGUAGAUGAUGAAUAAAUACUUCCAUGAAUAGGAAGUGUGUUUAUACUUA